rnacentral:misc_RNA from 1 species
UUAUAACUCAUACAGGUGCAAAGUUCUCAUCAAUAGAAACGAAUUAAGUUCAAACAGCAGGUAAUUGCUAUAAAUUGUUGAAGAGUUCCCUCGACUAUCUCUCUUCUCCAUCAUCAGAUCGACUCCAUACCUUUAUUAAAUAGUAGUGCUUUAUAGUACCUAAUGAAAACAUGAUUAAAUUUACUAGUCACCCUUACGAUUUUUGAAAGUUUCCCUCGAUUUCUCUGGGAUCCCAUCAUCAGAUCCUGGU